rnacentral:rRNA from 1 species
GCUUAGAAGCAGCCACUCAUUAAAAGAGUGCGUAAUAGCUCACUGGUCGAGUGACUCUGCGCCGAAAAUUUAACGGGGCUAAACUAUACACCGAAGCUUGGGAUACAUCUAAUGUAUGGUAGGAGAGCGUUCUGUAUGGGGAGAAGUCGUAGCGAAAGCGGCGGUGGACUAUACAGAAGUGAGAAUGCCGGAAUAAGUAGCGAGAAUUAAGUGAGAAUCUUAAUGGCCGAAAGUCUAAGGUUUUUGGAGGAAGGUUCGUCCGCUCCAAGUAAGUCGGGAGCUAAGGUGAGGCCUAACGGCGUAGCCGAUGCACAUACGGUAGAUAUUCCGUAACCACCGAAAGAUUUAAACACAGGGACACCUUGAAAGGGCAUAUCCCGGGAGUUGGUUUACCCGGGCGUAAGGGAUCGAAAUUUGAGUAGAGAAGUAUGUUUGGACGAGGGCGAGAAAAGCUGUGUGUAUAUUUUAGGUGCCCGUACCGCAAACCGACACAGGUGGACAGGAAGAGGAUUCUAAGGCCAACGGGAGAAGGGUAGUUAAGGAACUCGGCAAAUUGACCCCGUAACUUCGGAAUAAGGGGCGGUGCGUAAGCACCCGCAGUGAAUAGGUCCAGGCGACUGUUUAUCAAAAACACAGCUCUCUGCUAAAUCGAAAGAUGACGUAUAGGGGGUGACGCCUGCCCGGUGCUGGAAGGUUAAGGGGAGUGCUUAGCGCAAGCGAAGGUGCGAACUUAAGCCCCAGUAAACGGCGGCCGUAACUAUAACGGUCCUAAGGUAGCGAAAUUCCUUGUCGGGUAAGUUCCGACCCGCACGAAUGGUGUAACGAUCUGGGCACUGUCUCAACUACCCACCCGGCGAAAUUGUAGUACCGGUGAAGAUGCCGGUUACCUGCGGCAAGACGGAAAGACCCCAUGGAGCUUUACUGUAGCCUGAUAUUGGGUUUCGGAAAUCUAUGUACAGGAUAGGCGGGAGACUGGGAAACAUGAGCGUCAGCUUGUGUGGAGUCGAUGUUGGGAUACCGCCCUUAGGUUUCUGGAAUUCUAACCUGCGGCCGUGAAUCCGGUCGGGGGACAUUGUCAGGUGGGCAGUUUGACUGGGGCGGUCGCCUCCGAAAAGGUAACGGAGGCGCUCAAAGGUUAGCUCAGCACGGACGGAAACCGUGCCUCUGAGUGUAAACGCAAAAGCUAGCCUAACUGCGAGGGUGACGGCCCGAGCAGUAACGAAAGUUGGAGUUAGUGAUCCGGCGGUAUGUGAAUGGAAAUGCCGUCGCUCAACGGAUAAAAGCUACCCUGGGGAUAACAGGCUGAUCUCCCCCAA